CCUACGGGAGGCAGCAGUGAGGAAUAUUGGUCAAUGGACGCAAGUCUGAACCAGCCAUGCCGCGUGCAGGAAGACGGCUCUAUGAGUUGUAAACUGCUUUUGUACGAGGGUAAACGCAGAUACGCGUAUCUGUCUGAAAGUAUCGUACGAAUAAGGAUCGGCUAACUCCGUGCCAGCAGCCGCGGUAAUACGGAGGAUUCAAGCGUUAUCCGGAUUUAUUGGGUUUAAAGGGUGCGUAGGCGGUCGGAUAAGUUAGAGGUGAAAUCCCGGGGCUCAACUUCGGUAGUGCCUCUGAUACUGUGGGGCGAGAGGGUAGUGGCGGAAGGCGGAAUGAAUGGGG
rnacentral:rRNA from 1 species